GUCAUGUCAGUACAAGGCGCCAACUAUCUACCUUCCUCUCUCCUACGUUGACAUGAAUGCAUCGGAGCUGCUUUGAAUGUAAUUUUGAAGGAGCGGGGACCUCGGUCACCUCGGCCUUGAGCUCCUGGAAGCCGGCGUGUCCCUGCUGCCAUGCCGAGUCUGUCACGGAAGCACAUCCACCAGUCCACACGUUUGUUGUUGUGUUGAGUUGAAUGUGAAGGCGUGAUGCUACGGCAGCGGACUCACCUCUCAGACUGCUACUGUCACCUUGCCUGUUGGGACGCGCCAUCAGUAAAAUGUGUGCAUGCUUGCUGUUCCAUAAAAAGCUUGAAGUGACAGUUGCUGACCAAAAAACUGACCUGGCAUCUGUUUCGAACUCCUGCUUAGCCCUGGGCGGCACCAUGGGGCUCUGAGGUGGGCAGGGUCUGUUCCGCAGUCUCUCCAUCUCCCUCAACGUCUCCUCCAUGCGGUGCUGAAGCCCGCCCAGCUCCCUCUCCAGGCGUUCCUUCUCCCCCUGCAGCAGGUUCCUCUCGCCCACCGUGCGGGUCAGCGUCUCCUGAAGUUCGGACUGGCUCCGGCCUCCAGCCUGGGUGGUGGCGCCAGUGAGCCUGGACACCAGCGCCUCCAGCAGGGAGAGUCUGGCCUUGAGGCCCUCCACCUCUGGGCUUCCAGUCUGCGGGCAGCUGGCCUCAGCGGGGCUGGCCACGGUGAAGGUGUAGUGGCAUCGCCCGCUACGGUCGUUCCCCCUCCAGAGGGCAGCGCGGUCCUGAGCGUCCCCUUGGGCCAGAAGCCCCACAAGGCAGAGCAGGAGGAACAUGAUGGAGGUAACCAUGGUUAACAGAGGAAGAACAAUCAUUUCAAGAACUUUGUUAACUAGAGAAUCACUAACACGAUGUCAACUGGUCCUUUUGUGGCAGGUCUGAAAUGCAGUGGAAAUUGUGUUUUGGGGAUUAAGUUCAUUUUCAUAACCAAGAGUUACUUUGCAGUUCAUUACCAUUCAUCUUAUCACUCUUCACAAUGUUCUGGGAUACGUGCAAAUUAUAAUACAAACUGAGGCAGCAGAUUUUGUGGAAAUUAAUAUUUCUUGUCAUUCUCAAAACUUUUGGCCAAGACUGUAGGCGAACUUCUGAUGCGUUCUCAGGCUGGUGAGGUGAACCAAGCAGAAACGAAGUGGUUAAAAGGGAGCGCAGGAUUAAGCGUUAAAACCAUGGUUGUUUUGAUAAACCCAAUCCAAAGGGUUUAAAGUGUCUUUCGUUGGAGACUUGUUGUCUUAACUUCCAGCUACUGACCCGCCCAGAUCAUCCUCCCAGCAGUGGCUGACUAAUAGAGCUUGGCAUCGUUGUCCUCUCCUUCAUCUUCUUGUGAGUUUGAUUCCCUUUCAUGUGACUCACGUAACCGCCGCUAUGCCCGGAAUCUGAAGUCAUUGGUCUGAGCCGUCAAACAGAGCACCAAAACAUCCUGUGCUGCCAAUGUGGGAGGGAUGAAAAUGUCCCCUCAUGCAGACAUUUAUAGAAUGAUGUUUUUAUUUUCCCGCUCUCUUGCACAUGGACUGACGGUCACCGCCUCCACUUGAACAAUCAAAGGCUUUUCAUAUUAACAGGCCUGUGAUGAGGUAGAUGUGUUUAACAGUUACCCUCGCAAAGGGCAGAGUCACGAUGGCGAGGGUCUGUGAGAAGAACGAGGUCCGACACGCUGUGACUUUUAGGGAGAAGUUGAUGCUAAUAAAAUGCUAACCUAAUGAGGGGAUUUAAAAGACAGCUCAGGCACAGACUUAUUUUUCUUCGUCUUUUCAUCUCCUGUCAACUUUCCUACCAUACCCCCCCACCCCCACAACACACACACACACACGUUCCUCCAACCUGUCCCUCCAUCUUUUACGGCUUGGAAGGCCUCCACAAGCCUGAGCCUGGCGACUCACUCAAACCAGAUCAAACCGGUGAACGGACCUUUAAAAGCACUUUAUUUCAGGAAAAGGGGGGAGACAAAAAAAAGUAAGGGUUGGAAUGCCAAAGUAUUGUGUCGUCUUACAGAAUCAAUAUUUACAGGUUCAAAUAAAUUAAGAACAAUAACAUGACAAUGUGGAGUUAUUCACAGCUUGAAAUGGAAAAUUCCUCGCAGUAUGACCUGUGGAAUGCAAAGGUGAGAAGGUGACGUGCCCCUCACCUUUCAUACAUCACAGCAGAAAUAAGAGACAAAACUAGAAGCAGUACUGGACCAAACUCAACCGUCUGCAGCAAGUGGGACAAGGGGUGACCAAGCCGGCCCAGAAACAUUCAUAACCUGGAGGUUUUGGUUUUGAUGCGGCCCUGAUAACCAGCUAUGGAGGACGAUGGCGGACGUUUGGUAUCAGAGGGAGAAGAUGCAUCUCAGACGCUGCAUCGCUUUUGUGCAGCGGAACAUGCACGUGCUCACCCUG